rnacentral:lncRNA from 1 species
ACCUGAUUUUCUAAGCAAAGAGGAUCAUCUGAAGAUUCUUGGUGGAGGAAAGGUGAUGGUGGUCAUUUAAGUAUGUACAGUUAAAUUUGAGGACAGUUACUCUUGCAGACAUGCAUAAAUGCAUUGGGGUGGUCCCAGGGAUAGAAAUCAGGGAGAUAAGUUAGGAGGCAGUUGCAGCAGUCAAGGUACAGGUUCAUGGGAGCCUGGCUUUGGCUUGAUUUGGGCUCUAUUGCCUUGUGUUUUGCCUUGUGGAGCUGGGAAUGUCUAAGACAGUGUGAAAAGGCACUGACUCAGACAGAGCUGAGCAUGGAUAUGUACACUCAUCAAGACUUGAUGCACUGAGGUCAAUCCAAGAAUGAACCCACGAUGGAAAAAAAUGCCUGGUCUGGUGAUUUGACGGGCCUGAGAAAGACUUUCCCAUGGGAAGCCUCUGUGGAGAACAUGAUGCCUAGCAAGUAAAGCCCAUCCCAGGCCAUGGUGAUAAAAGAAAAUUGCCACACAGCUAUGUGUGAAUGCAAGGCAGGAGGUGGGAGGAGGGGAAGGAGUGGGGGUGCUGGUGGAGGGCGGCGGGCAUACCUCCCCAUGACAUCCUUUUCCAAACUUCUGCCAUCUGUGUUUCACUCUAUUAGGGGAGCUAGAGGCUCUCUUUAUAAUCUAUCUGUCCGGUCAUCACCCUCUGUGUUUUUCUUUCUUUUGGGACCAUUUUUUCCCCUCACAAAGAAACCCAUUUUUUUUUAAAAAUUACUCCUUGAGAGUUACUGUAUACAUGCUAAUUAGGGUAACAAUGUUAUAUUAGCUUAUUACCUAUUAUUUAUUUACCCAUUCACUUAUUUACUCAACAAAUAUCCAUUGAGUGCCUUUAAUGUGCCAAGUACAAUUCAGGCGCAGGGGUUAUAACUGAACAAAAGCAGUGAAAUCACUACCCUCAUGGGUCUUGAAUGGGGCAGUGUCAACAACUAAAUAUAUAGUUUCAGACUGUUGAUGUGAAGACUGAUGAAGCAGGAAAGGAAAUGAAUAGCAGCAAGGAUGUGGGGCUAUGGGGGCUGUAGACAGG